UGAUUUAAUCUGAUAAUUUGAUGCUUACGUUUUUUCCUGGUUUAGCAUAUAGUGAUUGCAAUGCUGAAUGUAAUCAAUUGCAAGUGAUCGAGAAGUAUCUGUUGCUGAUUGAUUUAGUGUGGAGAAGAAAUCUCAGUUCUGAUUGUAACGAUGAAGCUUCUUCUGAUGGUGGUCUAGCUCGAACAAGUUAUGUUCCGCCACAUUUUAGGAAUAGGCCUUCGUUCUGCCCCGUUGUUGCUGCUGCUGGUGCUCGGAAUAACUGAGGGAUUGGUUGGGAUCGUGGAGGGAAAGGGAGGCUAAUCCUUUUCACGAUAACUUAUGAUGCUUAUGAUGAUAGUCCGGUUGAAACGAGAGGUAUGCUAUAAUAGAUAUCACUUUGUGCUCGGGGAUCUAAUGGCGUGUGUGGUGUGUCCAGACUGGUCUUGCAGGUUAUGGAGAAGCUAGGAAGUUUUUCUACCAAACUGGUGUCGGGGUUGUGGUGCGCCCAUAAACACGCAGUUUCCGUUGUUUGUUGAAACUUGAGUGUGCAUCUUCCGUAACUUGGUUUAUCAGAAGCAUUGGAUAUAAGUUAUUAGCUCCAUUUGAAUGAGUUUUUGUUAUCAAUAGCAUUUUCAUGUUUGUAAGCUUGCCGCCUUCUUUAUUAUGCCAUAUUGGUGGUGACAGUUUAAUUCGCAAAGAUACCUUGUCGUGUUGUAUCUUAUAAUCAGUGAAUUACAGAAGCUACAUUCCGUGGUAUCUGUAAUCAAAUGGUGAUGCAUCUUCCAUACUCAGAGCUGAUAUCAUGUUUCUGCUGCAACGUUAUGUGUAUAAAUAUGUCAAGAAACAAAAAUGGCUGACAGCUCAUCUUAUCUGAUUCUCCCAACACUUUCAUGCUGCUUCAUUAGUAAAUUUAACAUGAAUUUUUAUAUGGAUUAGCUAGAGGUGAAUAUUCGGAUUGUAAACAACUGUAGAACCAGUAGAAGGGAUGAUGAAGCUGGAAUUUGAAUAAAUAUCAUUUUCCUAACAUUCCUCAACUAUUGUUGUUUCCCUUGGUUGUUAUUGCAUAAGUCUUUCCAAAAUAUUUAGCUUUGCCUUAUGAGUUAUGACUGAAUGUAAUGAUUGGUUGUUCUGGACAGCUCCGUGAACUUGGAAGAGGUGUCAACAUACUAGUUGCAACUCCUGGACGGUUGGCCGUGGAUUUGUUGGAAAGGGAAAGAGUCUCUUUGCAAAUGGUAAGGUAUUUAGCACUAGACGAGGCAUAUAGAAUGUUGGACAUGGAUUUGGAUUUUGAACCUCAAAUGAGGAGAAUUGUGCAAUAAAUGGACAUGACAUCUGCUGUUUGUAAGACAAACAAUGCUGUUUAGUGAAACUUUCCCUAAGGA